rnacentral:ncRNA from 1 species
GGAAGUUGGAAAAACGGAUCUGUAACUUUGGGGAAAGGAUUGGCUCUAAGGGUUGGGUGCAUCAGGCCUUGGUGUGAAGCCAUAGGACCUGCCAGGGACUGUUCAGGGCAACCUAGACGGAUCUGGGCAGGACCUGCAUGUUGGUAGCCCUGGCUACCUUUGGGCAUACAGUGCAUGCUUAACAACCGACUUAGAACUGGUACAAAGCUC